rnacentral:rRNA from 1 species
GUAGGGGGCUAGCGUUGUCCGGAUUUAUUGGGCGUAAAGAGCGUGUAGGCGGCUAGGUAGGUCCGUUGUGAAAACUCGAGGCUCAACCUCGAGACGUCGAUGGAAACCAUCUAGCUAGAGUCCGGAAGAGGAGAGUGGAAUUCCUGGUGUAGCGGUGAAAUGCGCAGAUAUCAGGAAGAACACCCGUGGCGAAGGCGGCUCUCUGGUACGUGACUGACGCUGAGACGCGAAAGCGUGGGGAGCGAACAGGAUUAGAUACCCUGGUAGUCCACGCCGUAAACGAUGGGUGCUAGGUGUGGGCGGUGUCGACUCCGUCCGUGCCGAAGCUAACGCAUUAAGCACCCCGCCUGGGGAGUACGGCCGCAAGGCUAAA